AGAUUGAACGCUGGCGGCAGGCCUAACACAUGCAAGUCGAGCGGUAGAGAGGUGCUUGCAUCUCUUGAGAGCGGCGGACGAGUGAGUAAUGCCUAGGAAUCUGCCUAGUGGUGGGGGAUAACGUUCGGAAACGGCGCUAAUACCGCAUACGUCCUACGGGAGAAAGCGGGGGACCUUCGGGCCUCGCGCCAUUAGAUGAGCCUAGGU
rnacentral:rRNA from 1 species